UACGGGGGGAGCAAGCGUUGUUCGGAUUUACUGGGCGUAAAGGGCGCGUAGGCGGCGCAACAAGUCACUUGUGAAAUCUCCGGGCUUAACCCGGAGCGGCCAAGUGAUACUGUCGUGCUAGAGUGCGGAAGGGGCUACUGGAAUUCUCGGUGUAGCGGUGAAAUGCGUAGAUAUCGAGAGGAACACCUGCGGCGAAGGCGGGUAGCUGGGCCGACACUGACGCUGAGGCGCGAAAGCAUGGGGAGCGAACGGG
rnacentral:rRNA from 1 species